UACAAUACCAAAUAACAUUUGAAAAGCUUGUGUCACUACAAGGUUGAACAUUUAUCACAUUGGGUCUCCAUGGUAUUGUUAUUAGAUGUGCUUGACCUCCA